UUGCAGCCAAUUAAGGCAAUCAAGUUCUUUUCCUCAUGAGGGCCUGGUAUACAAGGCAAGAACAAGUGGCCUCCGUAGUAGUUAGUGUAUGCAGCCUAGUGCUUGUAUGGGACUUCCUAAGGGGCCGUGGACACAACU